rnacentral:rRNA from 1 species
AUUGAACGCUGGCGGAAUGCUUUACACAUGCAAGUCGAACGGCAGCACGGACUUCGGUCUGGUGGCGAGUGGCGAACGGGUGAGUAAUGUAUCGGAACGUGCCCAGUCGUGGGGGAUAACGUAGUGAAAAUUACGCUAAUACCGCAUACGAUCUAUGGAUGAAAGCGGGGGAUCGCAAGACCUCGCGCGAUUGGAGCGGCCGAUAUCAGAUUAGGUAGUGGGUGGGGUAAAGGCCCACCAAGCCAACGAUCUGUAGCUGGUCUGAGAGGACGACCAGCCACACUGGAACUGAGACACGGUCCAGACUCCUACGCGAGGCAGCAGUGGGGAAUUUUGGACAAUGGGCGCAAGCCUGAUCCAGCCAUUCCGCGUGCAGGAUGAAGGCCCUCGGGUUGUAAACUGCUUUUGUACAGAACGAAAAGGUUUCUACUAAUACUGGGAGCUCAUGACGGUACUGUAAGAAUAAGCACCGGCUAACUACGUGCCAGCCGCCGCUGUAA